UACGGAGGGAGCUAGCGUUGUUCGGAAUUACUGGGCGUAAAGCGCACGUAGGCGGCCGUUCAAGUCGGAGGUGAAAGCCCGGGGCUCAACCCCGGAAUAGCCUUUGAAACUAGAUGGCUUGAAUCUUGGAGAGGUCAGUGGAAUUCCGAGUGUAGAGGUGAAAUUCGUAGAUAUUCGGUAGAACACCAGUGGCGAAGGCGACUGACUGGACAAGUAUUGACGAUGAGGUGCGAAAGCGUGGGGAGCAAACAGG
rnacentral:rRNA from 1 species